UUAAGCGACUAAGCGUACACGGUGGAUGCCCUGGCAGUCAGAGGCGAUGAAGGACGUGCUAAUCUGCGAUAAGCGUCGGUAAGGUGAUAUGAACCGUUAUAACCGGCGAUUUCCGAAUGGGGAAACCCAGUGUGUUUCGACACACUAUCAUUAACUGAAUCCAUAGGUUAAUGAGGCGAACCGGGGGAACUGAAACAUCUAAGUACCCCGAGGAAAAGAAAUCAACCGAGAUUCCCCCAGUAGCGGCGAGCGAACGGGGAGCAGCCCAGAGCCUGAAUCAGUGUGUGUGUUAGUGGAAGCGUCUGGAAAGGCGCGCGAUACAGGGUGACAGCCCCGUACACAAAAAUGCACAUGCUGUGAGCUCGAUGAGUAGGGCGGGACACGUGGUAUCCUGUCUGAAUAUGGGGGGACCAUCCUCCAAGGCUAAAUACUCCUGACUGACCGAUAGUGAACCAGUACCGUGAGGGAAAGGCGAAAAGAACCCCGGCGAGGGGAGUGAAAAAGAACCUGAAACCGUGUACGUACAAGCAGUGGGAGCACGCUUAGGCGUGUGACUGCGUACCUUUUGUAUAAUGGGUCAGCGACUUAUAUUCUGUAGCAAGGUUAACCGAAUAGGGGAGCCGAAGGGAAACCGAGUCUUAACUGGGCGUUAAGUUGCAGGGUAUAGACCCGAAACCCGGUGAUCUAGCCAUGGGCAGGUUGAAGGUUGGGUAACACUAACUGGAGGACCGAACCGACUAAUGUUGAAAAAUUAGCGGAUGACUUGUGGCUGGGGGUGAAAGGCCAAUCAAACCGGGAGAUAGCUGGUUCUCCCCGAAAGCUAUUUAGGUAGCGCCUCGUGAACUCAUCUCCGGGGGUAGAGCACUGUUUCGGCAAGGGGGUCAUCCCGACUUACCAACCCGAUGCAAACUGCGAAUACCGGAGAAUGUUAUCACGGGAGACACACGGCGGGUGCUAACGUCCGUCGUGAAGAGGGAAACAACCCAGACCGCCAGCUAAGGUCCCAAAGUCAUGGUUAAGUGGGAAACGAUGUGGGAAGGCCCAGACAGCCAGGAUGUUGGCUUAGAAGCAGCCAUCAUUUAAAGAAAGCGUAAUAGCUCACUGGUCGAGUCGGCCUGCGCGGAAGAUGUAACGGGGCUAAACCAUGCACCGAAGCUGCGGCAGCGACGCUUAUGCGUUGUUGGGUAGGGGAGCGUUCUGUAAGCCUGUGAAGGUGUACUGUGAGGCAUGCUGGAGGUAUCAGAAGUGCGAAUGCUGACAUAAGUAACGAUAAAGCGGGUGAAAAGCCCGCUCGCCGGAAGACCAAGGGUUCCUGUCCAACGUUAAUCGGGGCAGGGUGAGUCGACCCCUAAGGCGAGGCCGAAAGGCGUAGUCGAUGGGAAACAGGUUAAUAUUCCUGUACUUGGUGUUACUGCGAAGGGGGGACGGAGAAGGCUAUGUUGGCCGGGCGACGGUUGUCCCGGUUUAAGCGUGUAGGCUGGUUUUCCAGGCAAAUCCGGAAAAUCAAGGCUGAGGCGUGAUGACGAGGCACUACGGUGCUGAAGCAACAAAUGCCCUGCUUCCAGGAAAAGCCUCUAAGCAUCAGGUAACAUCAAAUCGUACCCCAAACCGACACAGGUGGUCAGGUAGAGAAUACCAAGGCGCUUGAGAGAACUCGGGUGAAGGAACUAGGCAAAAUGGUGCCGUAACUUCGGGAGAAGGCACGCUGAUAUGUAGGUGAAGUCCCUCGCGGAUGGAGCUGAAAUCAGUCGAAGAUACCAGCUGGCUGCAACUGUUUAUUAAAAACACAGCACUGUGCAAACACGAAAGUGGACGUAUACGGUGUGACGCCUGCCCGGUGCCGGAAGGUUAAUUGAUGGGGUUAGCGGUAACGCGAAGCUCUUGAUCGAAGCCCCGGUAAACGGCGGCCGUAACUAUAACGGUCCUAAGGUAGCGAAAUUCCUUGUCGGGUAAGUUCCGACCUGCACGAAUGGCGUAAUGAUGGCCAGGCUGUCUCCACCCGAGACUCAGUGAAAUUGAACUCGCUGUGAAGAUGCAGUGUACCCGCGGCAAGACGGAAAGACCCCGUGAACCUUUACUAUAGCUUGACACUGAACAUUGAGCCUUGAUGUGUAGGAUAGGUGGGAGGCUUAGAAGUGUGGACGCCAGUCUGCAUGGAGCCGACCUUGAAAUACCACCCUUUAAUGUUUGAUGUUCUAACGUUGACCCGUAAUCCGGGUUGCGGACAGUGUCUGGUGGGUAGUUUGACUGGGGCGGUCUCCUCCUAAAGAGUAACGGAGGAGCACGAAGGUUGGCUAAUCCUGGUCGGACAUCAGGAGGUUAGUGCAAUGGCAUAAGCCAGCUUGACUGCGAGCGUGACGGCGCGAGCAGGUGCGAAAGCAGGUCAUAGUGAUCCGGUGGUUCUGAAUGGAAGGGCCAUCGCUCAACGGAUAAAAGGUACUCCGGGGAUAACAGGCUGAUACCGCCCAAGAGUUCAUAUCGACGGCGGUGUUUGGCACCUCGAUGUCGGCUCAUCACAUCCUGGGGCUGAAGUAGGUCCCAAGGGUAUGGCUGUUCGCCAUUUAAAGUGGUACGCGAGCUGGGUUUAGAACGUCGUGAGACAGUUCGGUCCCUAUCUGCCGUGGGCGCUGGAGAACUGAGGGGGGCUGCUCCUAGUACGAGAGGACCGGAGUGGACGCAUCACUGGUGUUCGGGUUGUCAUGCCAAUGGCACUGCCCGGUAGCUAAAUGCGGAAGAGAUAAGUGCUGAAAGCAUCUAAGCACGAAACUUGCCCCGAGAUGAGUUCUCCCUGACUCCUUGAGAGUCCUGAAGGAACGUUGAAGACGACGACGUUGAUAGGCCGGGUGUGUAAGCGCAGCGAUGCGUUGAGCUAACCGGUACUAAUGAACCGUGAGGCUUAACCUU
rnacentral:rRNA from 1 species